UUCCAUCAUCUUUCAGCUUGGCUUUCUCUAAGAACACAUUAAAAUUCAGGGGUGCUAUUGCGCGAGCCAUUGAUCUAGAACAUAAAUUUGCAAAGAUUACUUAGACUAUUGUUCAAGAUAAUGAGUUUAGUUAUUCAUAUUACUAAAAACUCCCACUCAAAUUGACAUCUCUCUAGUCGUUCGAGUGAUACAUGAUCCAAACCCACAAACCCAAGUCUGAUCAUCAUGUGAGAAGAGGUGGUUUCAAUGGUGAACAUCUUCAUGUUGACCAUAUCUACUAUGUAACUCAUGUUCUACCUUUCGGUAUCUUGUGUUCUGAGGCCAUGUCUGUACAUGCUAGGUGUUGGAAAUAUGCCCUACAAGCAAAAAUAAAUUGGUUAAUAUUAUAUUUCCUUAUUCAUGAUAAUCGUUUAUUAUCCAUGCUAGAAUUGUAUAGAUUGGAAACUCAAAUACAUGGGUGGAUACAUAGACAACACACUAUCCUUAUUGAGCCUCUGAAGGACUAGCUCGUUGAUCAAAGAUGGUCAAGGUUUCCUAACCAUAGACAUGAGAUGUCGUUUGACAAUGGGAUCACAUCAUUAGGAGAAUGAUGUGAUGGACAAGACCCAAACUAUGUAUGUAGCAUAUGAUCGUGUCAGUUUAUUGCUACUGUUUUCUGCAUGCCAAGUAUCUCUACCUAUGACCAUGGGAUCGUGCAACUCCUGGACACCGGAGGAAAGCCUUGUCUGUAUCAAACGUCACAACGUAACUGGGUGACUAUAAAUGUUCUCUACAGGUAUCUUCGAAGGUGUUUGUUGGUUGGCAUGUAUCAAGACUGGGAUUUGUCACUCUGUAUGGCGGAGCCGUAUCUCUAGGGCCCACUCGGUAAUACAACAUCAUAAUGAGCUUGUAAGCAAUGUGAUUCAAGAGUUAGUCAUGGGAUUUCGUAUUACGAAAGGAGUAAAGAUACUUUCCGGUAACGAGAUUGAACUAGGUAAAGACACUUACUGAAAACCGAAUCUCGGGCAAGUAACAUACCAAUGGACAAAGGGAAGAACGUAUGGGAUUAACUAAAUCCUUGACAUAGAGGUUUGGUCGAUAAAGAUCUUCAUAGAAUAUGUAGGAGCCAAUAUGGGCAUCUAGGUCCCGCUAUUGGUUAUUGACCGGAGAGGGUCUCGGUCAUGCUUGCAUAGUUCUCGAACCCGUAGGGUCUGCACACUUAAGGAUCAGUGACGUCUCGGUAUAGUUGAAUUAUGUAUGUUGGUGACCGAAGGUUUUUUGGAGUCCCAGAUGAGACCUCGGAUGUCACGAGGAGUUCCGAAAUGGUCCAGAGACGAAGGUUGAUAUAGAGGAAGAUGGUAUUUGGGCUCCGGAAUGGUUUCGGACAUUUCCGGUAUUGUACCAGGAAUGAUGAGUGGGUUCUGGGGGUCCGUCGGGAGACGUCCACCCACUUGAGGGGGCACAUGGGCCUAAGAGGUAGCGCACCAGCCCUUAGUGGGUUGGGCGGCCAGCCCCUAAAGGCCCUUGCACCAAAGAGGUGGGACGGAAUCCUACAAGGAGUAGGACUCCACCUCCCUUAGUGGAGUCAGAUUCCUCCUCUUGGGUGCGACCAACCAAACCUAGGGAAAACCGUAGGGCUCCACCCCUUCGCCCUCCCUCCUAUAUAUACAAGAGGGGAGAGAGGGCAGCCAACACACAAUCAAAGGCACAACCCCUCUCCCUCCCUCUAGUUUGUUCUUCCUCUAGAUUAGGUCUGGCAGUGCCCAGCGAAGCCCUGCCAGAUCAGCUCCACCACUAUCGCCACCAUGCCGUUAGGCUGUCGGAGAACUCAACUACCUCUCUACCCUGUCUUGCUGGAUCAAGAAGGCGGAUAUCGUCAUCGAGCUAUACGUGUGCUGAACAUGGAGGUGCCGCCUGUUCGGCACUAGAUCAGGAUGGAUCGUGAUGAGAACGUGGGAUGGAUCGUGAUGAGAUCGCGGGACGGAUCGUGAUGGGAUCGCAGGAAGGAUUGCGAUUUGGAUCGCGAAGAUGUUCGACUAACUCAACCACGUUAUAUAAGCUUCCGCUUAGCAAUCUAUAAGGGUGUGUGGAUCCAAUCUCUCCUAUCGUAGAUGGUCAUCACCAUGGAUAGAUCUUGUGUGCGCGUAGGAAUUUUUUUUGUUUCCCAUGCGACGUUCCCCAACACUAGGCUCGUCAAGUUUAACCCGAGUGUUCCGCAUGUGCAAAACUGCCUUGCACCCGUUGUAUGUGAACGUAGAGUCUAUCACACCCGAUCAUCACACGGUGUGUCGAAACGAUGAACUUUCACAAUGGCGCACACCCAGGGAGAACACAAUUUUAUCUUGAAAUUUUAGUGAGGGAUCACCUUAUAAUGUUAGCAUCCUCCUAAGCAAAACAAGGUGCAUAAAAAUGAUGAAAGUCACAUGAAAUCAUAAGUGACAUGAUAUGGCCAUGAUCUUGUGCUUUUGAUCUCCAUCUCCAAAGCACCGACAUGAUCUCCAUCGUCACCAGCACAACACCAUGAUCUCCAUCAUCGUGUUUCCAUCAAGGUUGUCGCGCCAACCAUGCUUGUACUACUGUUGAUACAGUUUAGCGAUAAAGUAAAGCAUUACAUAGCUCUUAAUGAUUGACACACAAGUCAUACAAUAAUUAAAGACAACCCUAUGGCUCCUACCGGUUCCCGUAGCAUCGACAAGCAAGUCGACAUUAACUAUUGCAACAUGAUCAUCUCAUACAACAAAUACAUAUCAUCAUGUCUUUGGCCAUAUCAUAUCACAACAUACCGUGCAAAAACAAGUUGGACAUCCUCUAAUUUAUCGUUGCACGUUUUACGUGGCUGCUAUGGGUAUUUACCAAGAAUUCUUCUUAUCUACGCAAAACCACAACGGUGAUAUACAAGUUGCUAUUUAACCUUUUAUAAGGACCGCCUUUGUCGAAUCAUAUUUAACUAAAGUGGGAGAGACAGACACCCGCUAGCCAUCUUUAUGCAACAAGUUGCAUGUCAGUCGAUGGAACCGGUCUCUCGUACAUGUACGAGUAAGGUUGGUUCACGCCGCUUUAUCCCACAAUACCGCUAAAUCAAGAAAAUACUAAGGAGGGAAGGAAUCUGAAUAUCAGCGCCCACAAACUCCUUUGUGUUCUACUUGAGAUGUCAUCUACGCAUAGACCUAGUUCUGAUACCACAGUUGGGGAAUGUUGCAUGGGAAACAAAAACAUUCCUACGCCCACCAAGACCGUUCUAGGAGAUGCACAUCUACGAGAGUAAAGACUGAAUCUACAUACCCUUGUAGAUUGCUAAGCGAAAGCAUUCAAGAGCGCGGUUGAUGUAGUUGUACGUCUUCAUGAUCCGAUCACGAUCCGUCUCACGAACUCCUUGUCAAGCGCCGAAUGGACGGCACCUCCGCAUUCAACACACGUGCAGCUUGGUGACGCCUUCACCUCCUCGAUCCAGCGAGCGAUGGUGAAGUAGGAGCACGAGUCCUACGACAGCACGACGACGUGGUGAGAUGAUGGUGGUGAUAGCUCAGCAGGGUUUCCUCGCCUGAUGUUUAGAGGACAAGAACUACGAGGGAGAGGAGGAGCAGCGCCACGGCAAGAUGUCGUCUGGCUGCCCUCUCUCUACCUCUCUAUAUAUAGGGUUAAGGGUGGAGGGGAGGGCGCCAUAGGGUUUCCCCUAUGGGCCGGCGGCCAGGAUGGGCGACGGCUAGGGUUGGGGUGCCCUCCCCCCACUUGGGUGCCUUGCCACCCAAGUUGGACAGGCUGAUGCCCUGGGGGGAGGCCCUCCUCCCUUCGGCCAAAGUGGGCUGGGGUGUGGGUGGUGCCCAGACCCUUGUGGGAUGGUGUGCCACCCCUCCUUGGCCCAUGAGGCCGCCAACACUUGUCGGGGCCUCCCGAAAAUCCUUUCGCUAUUCUGUCAUUCCCUUGUAUUCCCUGGAAUACUUCCGGACUCCGAUACUCUUCAUCCUAUAUAUCAAUAUUCACCUCCGGACCACUCGAGAGUUCCUCGUAAUGUCCGGUAUCUCAUCCAGUACUCGGAACAACCUAUGUCCCACCAACAAUAUGACUCAAUUAUGCUCAUAUCGUCACCGUACCUUAAGCGUGUAGACCCUGCGGGUUCGAAAACUAUGCAGACAUGACCGAGACACUCUCCGGUCAAUAACCAAUAGCGGGACCUGGAUGCCUAUAUUGGUUCCUACAUAUUCUGCGAAGAUCUAUAUCGGUCGAACCUCGAUGUCAAGGAUUCAAUCAAUCUCGUAUAAAAUGCUCUUUGUCCAUCGGUAUGUUACUUGCCCGAGGUUCUAUCGUAGGUAUCUCCAUACCUAGUUAAAUCUCCUUACCUGCAAGUCUAUUUACUCGUUCCGUAAUACGAGAUACCGUGGCUAACUCUUUAGUCACAUUGCUUGCAUGCUCAUGGUGAUGUUGACAUACCUCUCGAUCACACGGAGUGACAAAUCCCAGUCUUGAUCCAUGUCAACUCAACCCACACCCUCGGAGAUACUUGUAUAGCACAUUUAUAGUCACCCACUUACGCAACGGCGUUUGAUACACACAAGGUACUCCUCCGGUGUUAGUGAGUUGCAUGAUCUCAUGGUCAUAGGAAUAGAUACUUAACAUGCAGAAAAUAAUAGCAAUAAACUGACACGAUCAUAUGCUACCUUCAUAGUUUGGGUCUUGUCCAUCACAUCAUUUUCCUAAUGAUGUGAUCCCGUUAUCAAAUGACAACUCAUGUCUAUGGCGAGGAAACCUUGACCGUCUUUGAUCAACGAGCUAGUCCAUUAGAGGGUCACUAGGGAGAGUGUGUUGUCUAUGUAUCCACACAUGUAUUUGAGUUUCCAAUCAGUACAAUUCUAGCCUGGAUAAUAAACGAUUAUCACGAACAAGGAAACAUAAUAAUAACCACUUUAUUAUUACCUCUAGGGCAUAUUUCCAACAUCUAAUGGAGACUGCUUUCCACCCUUUUCAGCACCAUCUGAGGUGGUCGAUCUGUAAGAAAAUCAACAUCAGAACAUGAAAUGCUAUCAAUGGCAAGAUCAACAUAUGUCUUAAUUUGCUCACAAUCUAAUGAAAUAAGAAAAGAAAAUCUCAGGUAACCACGUGAUACACAAAGCAAAGGACAUUUAAAUCCUAAAACGUGAAGAUGUUUGAUAUACAUGGUGUUCUGCCAUGAUGACCAAGAAGAAAAGUAGUAUAGAAGUAGAAUUUAUAUAAACAAAUAAGAUGCACUAUAUUAGAAGAAAUGAUGAAAUCAAUUUCAGAACUUCCCUCUUCCCUACCCUACCCCUGAUAUACAUUCAAUUUUGUCGGACGCAAAAUUCCAAUAGAACAAUAGGACUGAUGGAAUCAAUUUCAGAACCACCAUAAAGAACUAAACUAACUUCCAAACAAACAUUUCAAGCUUGGAAGUGCCAAACAUGCACAUAUUCAUAUAGUGGGUAGGAAUGUAACAACAAUUGUCUGCUUGCAUAGGAAAUAAUGGUCAUAAUGGUGCCAAUUGAACAUAGAUGAGUAACGAAAUUAAAAACCAGAGAGUUGUGGAAGCAGUGACCUCAGGUGGUGUUUCCCUUGUGCUCCUGGCUCCGGCACCUAACGACCACGGGUCUAUAUUCCCUUCAAGUACAGGUAAAAUCAGAUCAAUCUCCAUCAGCAGACGAACCCAAGCCAACCAAGAACAUGCAUGGUGGUGGCGAUAAAUGUUCUUCACCAUAUUCGACGCUAGGAGUGCAGUGGAAUACUCACCAAGGAAAUCACUGCUGGAGAGGCCCUUGGCAUAGACCAGAUGCACCUCUAGAAGACCACACCCCAUUGUUUUCUUCUCCCCGUGCUGCUGCUCCUCUCUUCCUCCCCUGGUUCUAAGUCGAGGCCUUGCCCCUCUGCUCGAUCUGCUUCUGUCGAGGCCGGACCGAGGUCGCGCUAUGGUUGCUACUCCUCUCUUGCUGACUCCUAUUGAGUCCGGAUUGAGGCCGCGCUCCUCACUCUAGCUCCUCAUGCUGAGGCCGGACCAUGGCCGUGCUGCGGUUAUUACACCUCUCCUCCUCCUAAGCCCAGAUCGAGGUUGUGCUCCUUGGCUCGAGCCGCCGCCUCGCUCUCCUUCUCUGUCACACCCCACUUAUCCCCUUCACAUCCCUCCUCCUUCCUAAGCUCGAAAAGGAGAGAGGGAAGCGGCUUGGGGGGAGGGCAGCAGGCGUAGGACCCAAGGAGAAGUAGAAGAGGCAGGAUUGGGAGAUUGGGGGAGAGGAGGCAGUGGAUUGAGGAAAGAGUUGUUGCACGCUCGCUGCACUUGUGUUGAUACCCGCUU
rnacentral:lncRNA from 1 species